UCUCCUGUAGCUCAGUCGACAGUGGUAGAGCAUCCGACCGGUGUGCGGAAGGUCAUAGGUUCGACUCCUGUUGGGAGAA